UGGGAAUUUUGGACAAUGGGCGAAAGCCUGAUCCAGCAAUGCCGCGUGUGUGAAGAAGGCCUUCGGGUUGUAAAGCACUUUUGUCCGGAAAGAAAUCCUUGGCUCUAAUACAGUCGGGGGAUGACGGUACCGGAAGAAUAAGCACCGGCUAACUACGUGCCAGCAGCCGCGGUAAUACGUAGGGUGCAAGCGUUAAUCGGAAUUACUGGGCGUAAAGCGUGCGCAGGCGGUUUGCUAAGACCGAUGUGAAAUCCCCGGGCUCAACCUGGGAACUGCAUUGGUGACUGGCAGGCUAGAGUAUGGCAGAGGGGGGUAGAAUUCCACGUGUAGCAGUGAAAUGCGUAGAGAUGUGGAGGAAUACCGAUGGCGAAGGCAGCCCCCUGGGCCAAUACUGACGCUCAUGCACGAAAGCGUGGGGAGCAAACAGGAUUAGAUACCCUGGUAGUCCACG
rnacentral:rRNA from 1 species